rnacentral:rRNA from 1 species
AGAGAGAGACAUGCGCGCAUAUCAAUAAGCGGAGGAAAAGUAACUAACAAGGAUUCCCCUAGUAACGGCGAGUGAAGCGGGAAGAGCUCAAAUUUGAAAUCUUAAAGGGUUUCCCUUUACGAAUUGUAGUUUAAAGAAGUGUUUUCUGUUGAGGUUUUGGUAAAAGUUCUUUGGAAUAGGACAUCAUAGAGGGUGAGAAUCCCGUAUUUGACCUUUACUUUCAACUUUGUGAUACACUUUCAAAGAGUCGGAUUGUUUGGGAAUGCAGUCCGAAAUGGGUGGUAAAUUUCAUCUAAAGCUAAAUAUUGACGAGAGACCGAUAGCGAACAAGUACCGUGAGGGAAAGAUGAAAAGAACUUUGAAAAGAGAGUUAAACAGUACGUGAAAUUGUCAAAAGGGAAGCGUUUGACACCAGUGUUGUUUUUCUGAAAAUCAAUUAAAGAACUGUUUAUGCUAAGUUGUUUAGACUUUAUCAGCUAACUGUUUAGUUUUGAGCUUUUCUUUAAUGCACUUUUCAGUUAACAAGUCAACAUCAAUUUCUUUUGCUGUAAAAAAGCUUGAGGAAGGUGGCUUGAGAUUCGUCUUAAGUGUUUAUAGCCUCUUGCCUAUGCAGUCGGAGAGAUUGAGGUCUGCAGCGUAGAUCCUUCGGGGCUAAAUGCAUUUGUGCUAAGUUAUAGCAUUUUAUAGACAACUUGUUGACUAUGAUUUGUCUUGUAGCUUACUCGCUUAUGUUAUUUUACCUACGCUUAGGAUGUUGACGCAUGAGAUAUACGC